UGAGGAAUAUUGGUCAAUGGACGAGAGUCUGAACCAGCCAAGUAGCGUGAAGGAUGACUGCCCUAUGGGUUGUAAACUUCUUUUAUACGGGAAUAAAGUGAGGCACGUGUGCCUUUUUGUAUGUACCGUAUGAAUAAGGAUCGGCUAACUCCGUGCCAGCAGCCGCGGUAAUACGGAGGAUCCGAGCGUUAUCCGGAUUUAUUGGGUUUAAAGGGAGCGUAGGCGGACGCUUAAGUCAGUUGUGAAAGUUUGCGGCUCAACCGUAAAAUUGCAGUUGAUACUGGGUGUCUUGAGUACAGUAGAGGCAGGCGGAAUUCGUGGUGUAGCGGUGAAAUGCUUAGAUAUCACGAAGAACUCCGAUUGCGAAGGCAGCUUGCUGGACUGUAACUGACGCUGAUGCUCGAAAGUGUGGGUAUCAAACAGGAUUAGAUACCCUGGUAGUCCACACAGUAAACGAUGAAUACUCGCUGUUUGCGAUAUACAGUAAGCGGCCAAGCGAAAGCGUUAAGUAUUCCACCUGGGGAGUACGCCGGCAACGGUGAAACUCAAAGGAAUUGACGGGGGCCCGCACAAGCGGAGGAACAUGUGGUUUAAUUCGAUGAUACGCGAGGAACCUUACCCGGGCUUGAAUUGCAACUGAAUGAUGUGGAGACAUGUCAGCCGCAAGGCAGUUGUGAAGGUGCUGCAUGGUUGUCGUCAGCUCGUGCCGUGAGGUGUCGGCUUAAGUGCCAUAACGAGCGCAACCCUUAUCGAUAGUUACCAUCAGGUUAUGCUGGGGACUCUGUCGAGACUGCCGUCGUAAGAUGUGAGGAAGGUGGGGAUGACGUCAAAUCAGCACGGCCCUUACGUCCGGGGCUACACACGUGUUACAAUGGGGGGUACAGAAGGCAGCUACACGGCGACGUGGUGCUAAUCCCGAAAGCCUCUCUCAGUUCGGAUUGGAGUCUGCAACCCGACUCCAUGAAGCUGGAUUCGCUAGUAAUCGCGCAUCAGCCACGGCGCGGUGAAUACGUUCCC
rnacentral:rRNA from 1 species